UAAAACAGCAUAGAAUGGUGAGAGGGAAGUUGCAGACAGCUUUGCCUUGCUUGGCCACACUUUAAUUUUUCCACCAGUGAGGACCUUGCAGAUUUCAUUAUCUGUGGCUUUUACAGGAGCCACUUCAUCAGAACUUCUUUGGAGAUAUUGGUUUAUCACAAUAGGGGAGAAUUGAACACACUUUCCACGAACAAACACUUGCCUGUAUUCAGGACUUGCUGGAUCAUUACAAUCUGCAGCUACAUUAAUCAAAAAUUCUUUGACAAACCUGUCAUAG
rnacentral:lncRNA from 1 species